UCAUGACCAUGUUGAAUGCUCGCCGUCUGCGCAGUGUCGCUGCUGACAAGUCUGUUAUGAUGCGCCCGCCAGGGAUUGGAGGACCAGCUCCUUGAUGUGGAAGUAGUGGGUACAGAGAAGGACAUUGCGGGGCGUUGGGUCCGGGAGGUAAGUUGGUUUAGGGACCCUGUGACCCUAUCUACCAGCAGCAUGUCUGCCGGGAUCCCUGGGGCAUAG